GCUAUACAUGCAGUCGAGCGAACGGACGAGAAGCUUGCUUCUCUGAUGUUAGCGGCGGACGGGUGAGUAACACGUGGAUAACCUACCUAUAAGACUGGGAUAACUUCGGGAAACCGGAGCUAAUACCGGAUAAUAUUUUGAACCGCAUGGUUCAAAAGUGAAAGACGGUCUUGCUGUCACUUAUAGAUGGAUCCGCGCUGCAUUAGCUAGUUGGUAAGGUAACGGCUUACCAAGGCAACGAUGCAUAGCCGACCUGAGAGGGUGAUCGGCCACACUGGAACUGAGACACGGUCCAGACUCCUACGGGAGGCAGCAGUAGGGAAUCUUCCGCAAUGGGCGAAAGCCUGACGGAGCAACGCCGCGUGAGUGAUGAAGGUCUUCGGAUCGUAAAACUCUGUUAUUAGGGAAGAACAUAUGUGUAAGUAACUGUGCACAUCUUGACGGUACCUAAUCAGAAAGCCACGGCUAACUACGUGCCAGCAGCCGCGGUAAUACGUAGGUGGCAAGCGUUAUCCGGAAUUAUUGGGCGUAAAGCGCGCGUAGGCGGUUUUUUAAGUCUGAUGUGAAAGCCCACGGCUCAACCGUGGAGGGUCAUUGGAAACUGGAAAACUUGAGUGCAGAAGAGGAAAGUGGAAUUCCAUGUGUAGCGGUGAAAUGCGCAGAGAUAUGGAGGAACACCAGUGGCGAAGGCGACUUUCUGGUCUGUAACUGACGCUGAUGUGCGAAAGCGUGGGGAUCAAACAGGAUUAGAUACCCUGGUAGUCCACGCCGUAAACGAUGAGUGCUAAGUGUUAGGGGGUUUCCGCCCCUUAGUGCUGCAGCUAACGCAUUAAGCACUCCGCCUGGGGAGUACGACCGCAAGGUUGAAACUCAAAGGAAUUGACGGGGACCCGCACAAGCGGUGGAGCAUGUGGUUUAAUUCGAAGCAACGCGAAGAACCUUACCAAAUCUUGACAUCCUUUGACAACUCUAGAGAUAGAGCUUUCCCCUUCGGGGGACAAAGUGACAGGUGGUGCAUGGUUGUCGUCAGCUCGUGUCGUGAGAUGUUG
rnacentral:rRNA from 1 species